GUAGGUGAACCUGCGGAGGGAUCAUCAUUGGAAAAAUUAUCUCUUAUAUAUAUAUGAGAGAGAGAGAGAGUUUUUGCCUUGGAUUUUUUUCUUUGGCUUUCUCCUCUCUUUUGUAUAUAUAUAUCAAACAAACGAUCGCAACUAUUAUAUGUGGGAUAUAUUGGACAAGAGGAGAAAAAGAUUGACUUGAUCUCUUUCUAUCCAAGAAAUAUAAAAGUGCUUGCCUGAUAUUGAUAAACGUGCACCAUUG
rnacentral:misc_RNA from 1 species